GGUGAAGCCGCCACGGCUGGUUAUUGAUUGUCAAAAUCUCCAGUUACGAUUAUAAGAUCAAAACGUCAAUUCAUGGUCAGUUCCAUGUCAGUUCCAACAAAGGCUCCAAUAUAUAGCUCCAAGUCUGAAUGAAAGAUGCCAAAAAUCAAAUACCCAUCGACUUAUAAUGAUAAAAACAAAAAGGAGAAGGUGUCCGAAGACAAACCAAACAGGGAAGAUCUUUCCAGAGCUCUAAACUAUCUCUUGGGCGUCUCAGUUCCAUUCUUCGUGACCAUGUUAGGUAUAGUUUUGUAUUUUAGUAUAAUAGGAGAUGAAUGUUGAUAUUAAUAAAGA